UAGCAAGAAGGAAACGUUUAGAUCUUGUAAAUGUGAGCAUCGAUUUCUAGGGAUAAGAUAAUAAGAUUAUUAUAUAAGAAAGAAAGAUUUGAUCUUAAUAUCUAAAUUUCUUAUCGUUCAGAUUUUGGAAUAAUAACAUCAGAUGAUGGUUUCGAUCUGAAGCAAGGAUGGAUUUUAUAGGCAAAAUUGUAGCAGCGAGGAAGGUAGAAGAAUCGGCCAUGGUAGAGGAAUCGACAGACGGUAGAUUUGAUGAGACACGAUCCAUCUGAAACGGUGGUAGAUUUUAUGAGACACGAUCUCGUCGAUCCCAUCUAAAACGAAAAUAGGGGACGGAUGCUGCGGCAAAGAGAGGAGAAGAAACGAUUUAUUGUAACGGACACGAGAAGAAGCAAGGUCGCGCAGAGGGGGAGCGAUUUACUGUAACAGACAUGAGAAGAAGCAAGGUCGUGCGGAGGCAGAGGGAUUUACUAUUUUUCUUGGAGAAUAAGCAAGGUCGCGUGUAUUGGUUCAGUUUGAUUUAGAGGUUUAGAUAGUGAACGAUUCGCAUCAGUUCAGUUUGGUCCUGUUCGGUUUAGAGGUUCAGAGAGAGGUAGUUCAAUGGUUCGGUUCAGAUGUUUAGAGACAAUGGUUCUAUAGGAAAAAUAGGCAAAAAUGUAGCAGCGAUGAGGGUAGAAGAAUCGGCCAGGGUAGAGGAAUCGGCGGACGGUAGAUUUGAUGAGACACGAUCCAUCUGAAACGGUGGUAGAUUUUAUGAGACACGAUCUCGUCGAUCCCAUCUGAAAUAGAAAUAGGGGACGGAUGCUGCGGCGGAGAGAGGAGAAGAAACGAUUUAUUGUAACGGACAUGAGAAGAAGCAAGGUCGCGCGGAGGGGAAGAGAUUUAUUGUAACGGACAUGAGAAGAAGCAAGGUCGUGCGGAGGCAGAGCGAUUUACUGUUUGGCGUGGAGAAGAAGCAAGGUCGUGUGCAUCGGUUUGGUUUGAUUUAGAGGUUUAGAUAGUGAACGGUUCGCAUCGGUUCGGUUUGGUUCGGUUUGGUUCAGAGGUUCAGAGAGAGGUAAUUCAAUGGUUCGGUUCAGAUGUUUAGAGACAACAGUUCGGUUCGGUUCGGUUCGGUUCGGUUCGGUUCGGUUCAGAGGUUCAGAGAUAGGCAGUUCAAGACUAAAUUACCAAUCAUUCUAGAAAAUAAUAAACGGUUGGAAAUUCUAUAUUGAUCAAAAAGGAACAAUUCAUGGCAAAGAGAACUACUAACCUGAAACCCUUGCAAGAAGGAAACGUCCAGAUCUUGUAAAGGUGGGCGUUGAUUUCAAGGGAUAAGACAAUAAGAUUAUUAUAUAAGAAAGAAAGAUUUGAUCUGAAUACCUAAAUUUCUUAUCGUUCAGAUUUUGGAUUAAUAACAUUAGAUGAUGGUUUCAAUCUAAGGCAAGGAUGGAUUUUAUAGGCAAAAUUGUAGCAGCGAGGAAGGUAGAAGAAUCGGCCAGGGUAGAGGAAUCGGCAGACGGUAGAUUUGAUGAGACACGAUCCAUCUGAAACGGUGGUAGAUUUUAUGAGACACGAUCUCGUCGAUCCCGUCUAAAACGGAAAUAGAGGACGGAUGCUGCGGCGGAGAGAGGAGAAGAAAUGAUUUAUUGUAACGGACGGGAGAAGAAGCAAGGUCGCGCAGAGAGGGAGCAAUUUACUGUAACAGACAUGAGAAGAAGGUCGUGCGGAGGUGGAACGAUUUGCUAUUUUUCGUGGAGAAUAAGCAAGGUCGCGUGUAUUGGUUCAGUUUGAUUUAGAGGUUUAGAUAGUGAACGGUUCGCAUCGGUUCAGUUUGGUCCUGUUCGGUUUAGAGGUUCAGAGAGAGGCAGUUCAAUGGUUCGGUUCAGAUGUUUAGAGACAACGGUUCUAUAGGCAAAAUAGGCAAAAAUGUAGCCGCGAGGAUGGUAGAAGAAUCGGCCAGAGUAUAGGAAUUGGCGGACGGUAGAUUUGAUGAGACACGAUCUAUCUU
rnacentral:lncRNA from 1 species